CUCACCNAGACGACGACGGGUAGCCGGCCUGAGAGGGCGACCGGCCACACUGGGACUGAGACACGGCCCAGACUCCUACGGGAGGCAGCAGUGGGGAAUAUUGCACAAUGGGGGAAACCCUGAUGCAGCGACGCAGCGUGCGGGAUGACGGCCUUCGGGUUGUAAACCGCUUUCAGCAGGGAAGAAGCCNNUCGGGGUGACGGUACCUGCAGAAGAAGUACCGGCUAACUACGUGCCAGCAGCCGCGGUAAUACAAA
rnacentral:rRNA from 1 species